GCCCUCUUGGUGAAACCUGCAACAAGCAUGUCAGUCUCAUAAUCUGAAGGUCCUGAGUUCAAGACUCAGAAAGGACA
rfam:Loxodonta africana unplaced genomic scaffold scaffold_204, whole genome shotgun sequence.